rnacentral:rRNA from 1 species
AUUGAACGCUGGCGGCAGGCCUAACACAUGCAAGUCGAGCGGAUGAAGGGAGCUUGCUCCUGGAUUCAGCGGCGGACGGGUGAGUAAUGCCUAGGAAUCUGCUUGGUAGUGGGGGAUAACGUCCGGAAACGGGCGCUAAUACCGCAUACGUCCUGAGGGAGAAAGUGGGGGAUCUUCGGACCUCACGCUAUCAGAUGAGCCUAGGUCGGAUUAGCUAGUUGGUGGGGUAAAGGCCUACCAAGGCGACGAUCCGUAACUGGUCUGAGAGGAUGAUCAGUCACACUGGAACUGAGACACGGUCCAGACUCCUACGGGAGGCAGCAGUGGGGAAUAUUGGACAAUGGGCGAAAGCCUGAUCCAGCCAUGCCGCGUGUGUGAAGAAGGUCUUCGGAUUGUAGAGCACUUUAAGUUGGGAGGAAGGGCAGUAAGUUAAUACCUUGCUGUUUUGACGUUACCAACAGAAUAAGCACCGGCUAACUUCGUG